rnacentral:rRNA from 1 species
UACGUAGGGGGGCAAGCGUUGUCCGGAAUCAUUUGGGCGUAAAAGCGCGUGUAGGCGGUUCGGUAAGUCGGCUGUGAAAGUCCAGGGCUCAACCCCUGGGAUGCCGGUCGAUACUGCCGGACUAGAGUUCGGAAGAGGCGAGUGGAAUUCCUGGUGUAGCGGUGGAAUGCGCAGAUAUCAGGAGGAACACCAAUAGCGAAGGCAGCUCGCUGGGACGGGUACUGACACUGGAGGC